GGGUGGACGGCCACAUUGGGACUGAGAUACGGCCCAGACUCCUACGGGAGGCAGCAGUAGGGAAUUUUGCGCAAUGGACGAAAGUCUGACGCAGCAACGCCGCGUGAGGGAUGACUGCCUUCGGGUUGUAAACCUCUGUUGGAUGGGAAAAAACGGUAGCAAUACCUUGAUGGUACCAUUCGAGUAAGCACCGGCUAACUACGUGCCAGCAGCCGCGGUAAUACGUAGGGUGCAAGCGUUGUUCGGAAUUACUGGGCGUAAAGGGAGCGUAGGCGGGAUCGUAAGUUAGGAGUUUAAUGCAUGGGCUUAACCCAUGACCUGCUCUUAAUACUGCGGUUCUUGAGUAUGGGAGAGGGCGAUGGAAUUCCAGGUGUAGCGGUGGAAUGCGUAGAUAUCUGGAAGAACACCAGUAGCGAAGGCGGUCGCCUGGCCCAAUACUGACGCUGAGGCUCGAAAGCUAGGGGAGCGAACAGGAUUAGAUACCCUGGUAGUCCUAGCCGUAAACGAUGAACACUAGUUGCCGGAGGAGUCAAUCUUUUCGGUGACGAAGCUAACGCAUUAAGUGUUCCGCCUGGGAAGUACGCCCGCAAGGGUGAAACUCAAAGGAAUUGACGGGGGCCCGCACAAGCGGUGGAGUAUGUGCUUUAAUUCGAUGCAACGCGAAGAACCUUACCUAGACUUGACAUGGGGGUGAAAAUCCGUAGAAAUAUGGAACCUUCCGCAAGGAACACCCUACACAGGUGCUGCAUGGUUGUCGUCAGCUCGUGUCGUGAGAUGUUGGGUUAAGUCCCGCAACGAGCGCAACCCUCGUCCUUAGUUGCUAACAGGUUAUGCUGAGAACUCUAAGGAGACUGCCUGGUUUAACCAGGAGGAAGGUGGGGAUGACGUCAAAUCCUCAUGGCCCUUACGUCUAGGGCUAGACACGUACUACAAUGGCCGGUACAACGGGCUGCAAGUCGGUGACGACAAGCUAAUCCCUUAAAACCGGUCUCAGUUCGGAUUGAAGUCUGCAAUUCGACUUCAUGAAGCUGGAAUCGCUAGUAAUCGCGGAUCAGCAUGCCGCGGUGAAUACGUUCCCGGGCCUUGUACACACCGCCCGUCAAGCCAAGAAAGAUGGCAGUACCCGAAGUCGCUUCUCUAACCGCAAGGAAGAGUGUGCCGAAGGUAAGGCUGUUGAUUGGGGCUAAGUCGUAACAAGGUA
rnacentral:rRNA from 1 species